rnacentral:rRNA from 1 species
CCUACGGGGGGCUGCAGUGAGGAAUAUUGGUCAAUGGACGGGAGUCUGAACCAGCCACGUAGCGUGAAGGAUGAAUGCCCUAUGGGUUGUAAACUUCUUUUAUAAAGGAGUAAAACGCGGCACGUGUGCCUUUUUGCAUGUACUUUUUGAAUAAGGAUCGGCUAACUCCGUGCCAGCCGCCGCGGUAAUACGGAGGAUCCGAGCGUUAUCCGGAUUUAUUGGGUUUAAAGGGUGCGUAGGCGGCCUUUUAAGUCAGCGGUGAAAGUCUGGGGCCCAACCAUAGAAGUGCCGUUGAAACUGGGAGGCUUGAGUAUGUUUGAGGCAGGCGGAAUGCGUGGUGUAGCGGUGAAAUGCUUAGAUAUCACGCAGAACCCCGAUUGCGAAGGCAGCCUGCCAAGCCAUGACUGACGCUGAUGCACGAAAGCGUGGGGAUCAAACAGGAUUAGAUACCCGUGUAGUC